rnacentral:misc_RNA from 1 species
GAAAUGCGAUAAGUAGUGUGAAUUGCAGAAUUCAGUGAAUCAUCGAAUCUUUGAACGCACAUUGCGCCCCUCGGUAUUCCGUGGGGCAUGCCUGUUCGAGCGUCAUCUACACCCUCAAGCUCUGCUUGGUGUUGGGCGUCUGUCCCGCCUCCUUCGCGCGCGGACUCGCCCCAAAUCCAUUGGCGGCGGCCCUUGCCUCCCUCUCGCGCAGCACAUUGCGCUUCUCGAGGCGCGGCGGACCGCGUCCAGCAAGCAACCGUCACCGUCUUUGACCUCGGAUCAGGUAGGGAUACCCGCUGAACUUAAGC